rnacentral:rRNA from 1 species
UACGGAGGGUGCAAGCGUUGUCCGGAAUCACUGGGCGUAAAGAGCGUGUAGGCGGCUAUGCAGGUCCGCUGUGAAAACUCGAGGCUCAACCUCGAGACGUCGGUGGAAACCGCAUGGCUAGAGUCCGGAAGAGGAGAGUGGAAUUCCCGGUGUAGCGGUGAAAUGCGCAGAUAUCGGGAAGAACACCCGUGGCGAAGGCGGCUCUCUGGGACGGUACUGACGCUGAGACGCGAAAGCGUGGGGAGCGAACAGG